rnacentral:rRNA from 1 species
UUAGAGUUUGAUCCUGGCUCAGGAUAAACGCUGGCGGCGUACAUAAGACAUGCAAGUCGAACGAGCAGAAGCUAAAAGAUUUAUCUCUUAGUGGAGCUAGUGGCGGAUGGGUGAGUAACACGUAAGCAACCUACCUAGCAGAGGGGAAUAACAGUGAGAAAUCAUUGCUAAUACCGCAUACCUUGUAGAGAAGGCAUCUUCAUUACAAGAAAAGAUUAAUCUGCUGUUAGAUGGGCUUGCGCCUGAUUAGCUAGUUGGUGAGAUAAAAGCUCACCAAGGCGACGAUCAGUAGCCGGACUGAGAGGUUGAACGGCCACAUUGGGACUGAGACACGGACCAGACUCCUACGGGAGGCAGCAGUGAGGAAUAUUGGUCAAUGGAGGCAACUCUGAACCAGCCACGUCGCGUGAAGGAUGACGGCCCUACGGGUUGUAAACUUCUUUUUCAAGGGAAUAAAGUUGGCCACGCGUGGCCAUUUGCAUGUACCUUGCGAAUAAGGAUCGGCUAACUCCGUGCCAGCAGCCGCGGUAAUACGGAGGAUCCGAGCGUUAUCCGGAUUUAUUGGGUUUAAAGGGUGCGCAGGCGGGGGGUUAAGUCGGCGGUGAAAUUUUGCAGCUCAACUGUAAGAGUGCCGUCGAUACUGGUCCCCUUGAGUGUGGAUGAGGUAGGCGGAAUUUGUGGUGUAGCGGUGAAAUGCAUAGAUAUCACGAGGAACUCCGAUUGCGCAGGCAGCUUACCAGGCCAUAACUGACGCUCAUGCACGAAGGCGUGGGGAUCAAACAGGAUUAGAUACCCUGGUAGUCCACGCAGUAAACUAUGAUUACUGGCUGUUUGCGAUACACUGUAAGCGGCUGAGCGAAAGCGUUAAGUAAUCCACCUGGGGAGUACGUUCGCAAGAAUGAAACUCAAAGGAAUUGACGGGGGCCCGCACAAGCGGAGGAACAUGUGGUUUAAUUCGAUGAUACGCGAGGAACCUUACCCGGGCUUGAAAUGCGGCGGACCGGCGGAGAGAUCCGCCCUCCCUUCGGGGCCGUCGUGUAGGUGCUGCAUGGUUGUCGUCAGCUCGUGCCGUGAGGUGUCGGCUUAAGUGCCAUAACGAGCGCAACCCUCAUCGUUAGUUGCCAUCAGGUCAUGCUGGGGACUCUAGCGAGACUGCCAUCGUAAGAUGCGAGGAAGGUGGGGAUGACGUCAAAUCAGCACGGCCCUUAUGUCCGGGGCGACACACGUGUUACAAUGGCCGGUACAGAGCGCAGCGAGGCCGCGAGGCCGAGCGAAUCGCCCAAAGCCGGUCCCAGUACGGAUUGGAGUCUGCAACUCGACUCCAUGAAGUUGGAAUCGCUAGUAAUCACGCAUCAGCAUGGCGUGGUGAAUUAGUUCCCGGGCCUUGUACACACCGCCCGUCAAG